CCCUGCUUGAUUUGUAUAAUUUCGAUUUUGCCUCUUCUCGACUCUUCUUCAUUUUUGUCUCUCUGGGAAGGGAAAGAUCUGGAUGUACUCUUCUUUUCUCCUCUCUCUCUCCGUCUGUGUUUGCGCAUGGCUAUUGGGUUUUCUUGGACGACAGCAGAUACCUGUAGCGAAAGAAAUCUCACCCUGCGGCACCGCCUCUCACGGAACCACCGCCGCCACCAUCUUUCGGCUCGAAUUUUGUGGGUUCUGAAGAGCCGCAGCGACAUGCAAAUAUGUGCCUGAUCUUCCACUGGAGCAUCCAAAUUUUCAGUUGUGUAUCAAAUGACAGCAACCUUUACCAAUUCAAAAUUUGAAGCCAAGAUACCACCGACCAUAUACUUGCAUCCCAAAUAUUGUUAAAAACGAAGAAACAAUAGAGUGCUAUGUGGAAACAGCAAUGCAAGGGCAGGAUCUGAUCGGUAGCACUCAAACAGGGGAUCUUAAGGCUGUGCAAAAUGGUGAACAAAAAUGCACACGAGUCGGAAUUGUGAAACCAAGUCAACUCUCACUUAGAAGUGUAAGUACUAGGAGGUCAUCCUUGAGCGACCUGGCACGAGGAAUUUAACCAACAUGGUUGGAUUUCUGAACUUCAUUAUAUUUUCAUGUAUUUUUCAUAUAUAGAUGCGUCUAUCUGGGGAUCGAAACAUGUCCUUUUUCUGAAUUUUUCAGGGCAUGAAAAUUCAAGCUCGGGCGGUACCCCCAUUUCAUUGCAAAUGAGAGCAUUCGACGAUGGAGCAGCGUGAUCGAGUUUGGUGAAAAAGUAUGCAAACGGUGGAAUUUUUUAGCGAUUCUAGUUGGAGAUGAAAAAUACCCAAGGAAGCCACUGGAUGAGAGAUAAAGAUAAGCAAGGAACGAAACUAAUCUACCAAUUUCAGUAGGAAGAGGUCCAUUAAGCAUGUUGCUUGAAAGAUCUAGGCCUGUUAAGCUUGUGCAGUUUGCUGCACCCUGGGGAAACUGGCCCUUGAGCCCCAAAUCCAAAAGCUUGAUAUUUAACUUUGCUUUCGUGAGGGUGCCAACACUCGAUUCCAAUAAAGUUAGAGAGGAAGAGAAAAGAUGUACGCCAUGUGACUUUGCCAGGAAAGUGGGGAUUCCACUUAUUUUGGCUUAGCAUAAAAAAAAAAAGAGAAAAGAUGCAGGGAGUGGCAGAAAAGAGGAGAACAUGGGGUGCCCACUAUGAAGUGGAGUUUGGUUGGUCUUCCACUUGUAGCUUUGGGUGGUUUUGGCAAUUAUUGCCUUUUGUUGAAGGCAAUACACGCAAAGAGAUAGAGGGGAAGACAGAGAGGAGGACGGACAGAAUGGAGCAGCAGAGGAGUAGAGAAUUGCAGAGAGCAACAUAGCAGAAAAGGAGGAGAAGAUCGGAGAGCUUGUCUUGUAAAAAAGGGUUGUUUUCUUUCUUUGAUUCUUAAUGGAUAAUCCCUUAUGUAUUUAGAUAAGUAUGUAUAACUAAUUUCUUUUGCUAGAGUGAGACCGUGAACCUCAACACGAUUACGUAAAUUUCUCUUUUAAUUGCUUAA